GUACCCGACCUACGGGAAGUGGUGCAUCAUACACGGUUGCCUCGUGGUGGACGCCUUCGGGUGUGCUGCUGCGGCCAAAUGGCGCUUGCGUCGCUGCCUCGUGGUGCUGGCACGUUUUGUGCCUGCUGCUAUCAGGGCAGCCUCACUUCCGCUGUUGGUUUCGGAUGUCGCUGACGAUAAAAGCUCAUGGCCCUUUCGGUUGCCUUGAAUUGCCCUAAAUAUGCUUUCCUCGUUGAGAUCGGACAACUGUGUUCCUCAACUCGUAGGUGGAUAUUGGCCCGCUCAAUUGCGACAACUGGCCCGACGGUUGGUCCUGCCUUUCCACGGAAGUGGACGGGCGAGCAAGCGUUGGUGUCGGACGUCAAAGAGGACGUGCUACCUGGUUGAUCCUGCCAGUAGUC
rnacentral:misc_RNA from 1 species